GGAUAACAAAACUAUAGGAUUGUGUCUUCCAUUUACCAGAAUGUCACUCCAGGACAGCAACUGCCUGCCUUUAAAAGGACAUGGACUGCCCUCAACCAUUUUGUCCAAAGGGGAUUUGUACACAGAAGCAGGGCAGGUCUCUGAGAUUCCACAACAGUCUGAGCAAGGUCGCGUUGCUGAUUUCCUCCUGCUCCUUGGCACAUACCUGGCACAGCCCAGUUUUGGAAGGUACGAAAGAUUAUUGUCUGGAAAGAUCAGCAGCCACUAAUCCAGCUAAAUCCGUGCUGUUUGUUUGCUGGUUCUACUACAGACACCUUGGCUCCCAGGUAUUCUCAAGAUUAAGAAAUAGCAC